rnacentral:rRNA from 1 species
AUUCUGGCUCAGGAUGAACGCUAGCUACAGGCUUAACACAUGCAAGUCGAGGGGCAGCAUGUGGUGCUGCAACCAAUGAUGGCGACCGGCGCACGGGUGAGUAACGCGUAUCCAACCUUCCCCUUAGUAGAGGAUAGCCCGGCGAAAGUCGGAUUAAUACUCUAUGUUCUUCAAUGCGGACAUCUAAGUUGAAGCAAAGAUUUAUCGCUAAGGGAUGGGGAUGCGUCUGAUUAGGUUGCAGGCGGGGUAACGGCCCACCUGGCCUACGAUCAGUAGGGGUUCUGAGAGGAAGGUCCCCCACACUGGUACUGAGACACGGACCAGACUCCUACGGGAGGCAGCAGUGAGGAAUAUUGGUCAAUGGGCGCGAGCCUGAACCAGCCAAGUAGCGUGCAAGGACGACUGCCCUAUGGGUUGUAAACUGCUUUUAUCAGGGAAUAAAGUGAGGCACGCGUGCCUUUUUGUAUGUACCUGAUGAAUAAGGACCGGCUAAUUCCGUGCCAGCAGCCGC